UGCAAAUGAUGCCAACCUUGCAGUCUAAAUACAUUUGAUGACAACCACCAAGAUCGCUGAUGCA
rfam:Patagioenas fasciata monilis isolate BTP2013 Sc31e1R_139, whole genome shotgun sequence.